rnacentral:rRNA from 1 species
UAUCCGGAAUUAUUGGGCGUAAAGAGCUCGUAGGCGGUUUGUCGCGUCUGCUGUGAAAUCCGGAGGCUCAACCUCCGGCCUGCAGUGGGUACGGGCAGACUAGAGUGCGGUAGGGGAGAUUGGAAUUCCUGGUGUAGCGGUGGAAUGCGCAGAUAUCAGGAGGAACACCGAUGGCGAAGGCAGAUCUCUGGGCCGUAACUGACGCUGAGGAGCGAAAGGGUGGGGAGCAAACAGGCUUAGAUACCCUGGUAGUCC